GACGACGUGGCGGAGUGGUCUAACGCGUCCGACUACUAAUCGGAUUCCUUCUGGAGCGCAGGUUCGAACCCUGCCGUCGUCG
rfam:Allomyces macrogynus ATCC 38327 genomic scaffold supercont3.53, whole genome shotgun sequence.